rnacentral:misc_RNA from 1 species
GAUGAAGAACGUAGCGAAAUGCGAUACGUAAUGUGAAUUGCAGAAUUCAGUGAAUCAUCGAAUCUUUGAACGCAUAUUGCGCUCUCUGGUAUUCCGGAGAGCAUGCUUGUUUGAGUAUCAGUAAACACCUCAACUCCCCUUUCUUUUUUUGAAAUGGGAGCUGGACUUGAGUGAUCCCAACGCUUUUCUCACCGAAAAGUGGCGGGUUACUUGAAAUGCAGGUGCAGCUGGACUUUUCUCUGAGCAAAAAGCAUAUCUAUUUAGUCUGCCUAAAAAACAGAUUAUUACCUUUGCUGCAGCUAACAUAAAGGAGAUUAGUUCUUGUGCUGACUGAUGCAGGAUUCACAGAGACAGCUUCGGCUGGCCUUUGUAAACUCGAUCUCAAAUCAAGUAAGACUACCCGCUGAACUUAAGCAUAUCAAUAAGCGGAGGA